rnacentral:rRNA from 3 species
UUAAGUGAAUAAGGGCGCACGGUGGAUGCCUUGGCACUAGGAGCCGAUGAAGGACGGGACUAACACCGAUAUGCUUUGGGGAGCUGUACGUAAGCUAUGAUCCAGAGAUUUCCGAAUGGGGAAACCCAACAUCUUUUAUAGGAUGUUACGUUUGCGUGAAUACAUAGCGCAUUCGAGGUAGACGCAGAGAACUGAAACAUCUAAGUACCUGCAGGAAGAGAAAGAAAAUUCGAUUCCCUGAGUAGCGGCGAGCGAAACGGGAAAAGCCCAAACCAAUGAGCUUGCUCAUUGGGGUUGUAGGACUCCAAUAUGGUAGUUCUUUCAGAUAAUCGAAUGACUUGGAAAAGUCAGUCAAAGAGGGUAAAAACCCCGUAGAUGAAAUUUGGAAGGCACCUAGGAGGAUCCUGAGUACGGCGGAACACGAGGAAUUCCGUCGGAAUCCGGGAGGACCAUCUCCCAAGGCUAAAUACUCCCUAGUGACCGAUAGUGAACCAGUACCGUGAGGGAAAGGUGAAAAGCACCCCGGAAGGGGAGUGAAAUAGAACCUGAAACCGUGUGCCUACAACAAGUCAAAGCCCGUUAAUGGGUGAUGGCGUGCCUUUUGUAGAAUGAACCGGCGAGUUACGAUUGCAUGCGAGGUUAAGUCGAAGAGACGGAGCCGCAGCGAAAGCGAGUCUGAAUAGGGCGUUUGAGUAUGUAGUCGUAGACCCGAAACCAUGUGAUCUACCCAUGUCCAGGUUGAAGGUGCGGUAAAACGCACUGGAGGACCGAACCCACGUACGUUGAAAAGUGCGGGGAUGAGGUGUGGGUAGCGGAGAAAUUCCAAACGAACUUGGAGAUAGCUGGUUCUCUCCGAAAUAGCUUUAGGGCUAGCCUCGGAUUUGAGAAUGAUGGAGGUAGAGCACUGUUUGGACUAGGGGCCCAUCUCGGGUUACCGAAUUCAGAUAAACUCCGAAUGCCAUUCAUUCAUAUCCGGGAGUCAGACUGUGAGUGAUAAGAUCCAUAGUCGAAAGGGAAACAGCCCAGACCACCAGCUAAGGUCCCAAAAUAUAUGUUAAGUGGAAAAGGAUGUGGGGUUGCACAGACAACUAGGAUGUUGGCUCAGAAGCAGCCACCAUUUAAAGAGUGCGUAAUAGCUCACUAGUCGAGUGACCCUGCGCCGAAAAUGUACCGGGGCUAAACAUAUUACCGAAGCUGUGGAGUACACCAUUAGGUGUAUUGGUAGGAGAGCGUUCUAAGGGCGUUGAAGGCAGAUCGUGAGGACUGCUGGAGCGCUUAGAAGUGAGAAUGCCGGUAUGAGUAGCGAAAGACAGGUGAGAAUCCUGUCCACCGAAUGACUAAGGUUUCCUGGGGAAGGCUCGUCCGCCCAGGGUUAGUCGGGACCUAAGCCGAGGCCGACAGGCGUAGGCGAUGGACAACAGGUUGAUAUUCCUGUACUCGUUGUUUUUGUUUGAGCAAUGGAGGGACGCAGGAGGCUAAGGAAUGCAGACGAUUGGAAAUGUCUGUCCAAGCAGUAAGUCUUGAUAGGAGUCAAAUGCUUCUGUCUACACGGAUAAGCUGUGAUGGGGAGGGAAAUAAUAGUACCGAAGUUCCUGAUGUCACACUGCCAAGAAAAGCUUCUAGUGAGAAAACAAUGACCCGUACCGCAAACCGACACAGGUAGUCGAGGAGAGAAUCCUAAGGUGAGCGAGAGAACUCUCGUUAAGGAACUCGGCAAAAUGACCCCGUAACUUCGGGAGAAGGGGUGCUGAUCUUUGAUCAGCCGCAGUGAAUAGGCCCAAGCGACUGUUUAUCAAAAACACAGGUCUCUGCAAAAUCGUAAGAUGAAGUAUAGGGGCUGACGCCUGCCCGGUGCUGGAAGGUUAAGAGGAGUGCUUAGCGUAAGCGAAGGUACGAAUUGAAGCCCCAGUAAACGGCGGCCGUAACUAUAACGGUCCUAAGGUAGCGAAAUUCCUUGUCGGGUAAGUUCCGACCCGCACGAAAGGCGUAACGAUUUGGGCACUGUCUCAACGAGAGACUCGGUGAAAUUUUAGUACCUGUGAAGAUGCAGGUUACCCGCGACAGGACGGAAAGACCCCAUGGAGCUUUACUGUAGUUUGAUAUUGAGUGUCUGUACCGCAUGUACAGGAUAGGUAGGAGCCGUAGAAAUCGGAACGCUAGUUUCGAUGGAGGCGCUGGUGGGAUACUACCCCUGCGUUAUGGCCACUCUAACCCGCACCACUGAUCGUGGUGGGAGACAGUGUCAGAUGGGCAGUUUGACUGGGGCGGUCGCCUCCUAAAAGGUAACGGAGGCGCCCAAAGGUUCCCUCAGAAUGGUUGGAAAUCAUUCGAAGAGUGUAAAGGCAGAAGGGAGCUUGACUGCGAGACCAACAAGUCGAGCAGGGACGAAAGUCGGGCUUAGUGAUCCGGUGGUUCCGCAUGGAAGGGCCAUCGCUCAACGGAUAAAAGCUACCCUGGGGAUAACAGGCUUAUCUCCCCCAAGAGUCCACAUCGACGGGGAGGUUUGGCACCUCGAUGUCGGCUCGUCGCAUCCUGGGGCUGUAGUCGGUCCCAAGGGUUGGGCUGUUCGCCCAUUAAAGCGGCACGCGAGCUGGGUUCAGAACGUCGUGAGACAGUUCGGUCCCUAUCCGUCGCGGGCGUUGGAAAUUUGAGAGGAGCUGUCCUUAGUACGAGAGGACCGGGAUGGACUUACCGCUGGUGUACCAGUUGUUCUGCCAAGGGCAUUGCUGGGUAGCUAUGUAGGGAAGGGAUAAACGCUGAAAGCAUCUAAGUGUGAAGCCCACCUCAAGAUGAGAUUUCCCAUUUCUUUAAGAAAGUAAGAUCCCUGAGAGAUGAUCAGGUAGAUAGGUCAGGAGUGGAAGGCCAGUGAUGGUUGGAGCGGACUGAUACUAAUCGAUCGAGGACUUAACCAA